UGAACCAAACGUGCUGGCAAAGAAGUGGU
rnacentral:piRNA from 1 species